rnacentral:rRNA from 1 species
GAUGAACGCUGGCGGCGUGCCUAAUUCAUGCAAGUAGAACGCUGAAGCUUGGUGCUUGCACCGAGCGGAUGAGUUGCGAACGGGUGAGUAACGCGUAGGUAACCUGCCUGGUAGCGGGGGAUAACUAUUGGAAACGAUAGCUAAUACCGCAUAACAGUCGACAUUGCAUGAUGUUGAUUUGAAAGGGGCAAUUGCUCCACUACCAGAUGGACCUGCGUUGUAUUAGCUAGUUGGUGAGGUAACGGCUCACCAAGGCGACGAUACAUAGCCGACCUGAGAGGGUGAUCGGCCACACUGGGACUGAGACACGGCCCAGACUCCUACGGGAGGCAGCAGUAGGGAAUCUUCAGCAAUGGACGGAAGUCUGACCGAGCAACGCCGCGUGAGUGAAGAAGGUUUUCGGAUCGUAAAGCUCUGUUGUAAGAGAAGAACGAGUGUGAGAGUGGAAAGUUCACACUGUGACGGUAACUACCAGAAAGGAC